CUACUCAGGUGGCUGAAGGAGGAUCACUUGAUCCCACGAGGUUAAGGCUGCAGGGCAACAAAGCGAGACCUUGUCUCAAAAACACAAACAAAAAACACCUCUAUAGCAGGAAUGAGCCAGGGACUGUGGACAGUGUGCCCCGAGGCCCGUCCUCUCUUCCCACAGCUGAUGGGGAUGAGGUGUAACUCACACAUCCUAAAAGCUUCAACAGGGCACUGGAGUGCCGCUGACCAAGUUACUGGCAUUUUCUAUUGCCAGGAAGCCGCAUUCUCCUCCCUGCUAAGCUUUCUCAUGCUAGAGAAUGAUGACUAAAAAAUAGAUGAUCCCAUCCUCUUAUUCACCAUCCCCUAAAAAAACAGAGUGCCACGUGGAAUGUGUCAGCCUCACCUGGGGGAGACACCCUUAUCUGAAGACUUAAAAGGAAAAACUUGGUGAGCCAGCCUCCACACAAACACACGCAUAGCCUUGCACAAAACAAAAAUUUAUUGGGAGAAAGAUGGCUGAUGGGAGGCAAGAUCUGGAUUCAGGAAUCCUCAAUUUUAGCUCUCGCUCUGUCACCAAAAACCUCCGUCCCUCCCAGAGCCUCCAGGAGUUUCCCCUUCUGUAAACCGGUAUCGCGUCCCUUCCAGCUCUGACAUCCUGCAGUUCUAGAAUACCCAUUGAUUGAAAGAGCUGUGGCCAAACAGGAAGGACAGAGCAAGAGCCGCUGACAAAGGAUUCUGCCAAGACAGAAUCCCAAGGUCACCCCUGAAUAGCAGAAUGCAAUCCCCCAGCUCACUGCCGGCCAGAGCCUGCCAGUGCACCAGCACACAGGGUCACAGCAAUGCCACCAUGCCAAGGCGAGGACAGAGCGGGAGAGAGGCUUGGGGCAGUGAAAGAGCCCUCUCGGGUCUUGGCUUUGGAAGUGUGGACUGUACCAGCAGAUGGGCCCUUGGGAAGCCACCAGGGAACAAUUCAAGGCUGGAGAGAAAAAGGCCACCUUUGACCCAGCAGAAGGCAGAGGCGGGAGAGGAGGGUGAGGACGUACAAGGAGCAUCAGGAGCAUCGAGGAAGUACAAGGAGCAUCGCAGGCGAGGAAACAAUGGCCAGGACCUAACUGUGGUGGGAACUGCCUUUGUCUCCACACACUCGCAAUCAACAUGCGUAUUUGCUAUUUUCAAACAAACAACUCCCUUCCACCCCCUUAAGGCUGAAAGGACAAACUCAUCAGAGUUGAGGAGUACCUACCUGAUGAAGCUGUUCAUGCUUCCAGCAUCAAACUGGACGUUUACUGUCUGCCCAAAAGCCAGUUUCCAAAAGGUUUGCUUCCCUCUGUUGAGUGGAUUCUUGACUACGUAUAGGUCAUAUAUUUCAAAAAAUAAUGCCUAGCUAUUUCUACUUUUAAAUCAUGACUAAAGCCAAACCACAAUCACAGCAAAGAUAACCUAAGGAUUUGUUUACCAGAAAUACCUACAAAAAAGUUUGCAGGCCGGGCGCGAUGGCUCACACUUGUAAUCCCAGCACUUUGAGAGGCUGAGAUGGGCAGAUCACAUGAGGUCAGGGGUUCAAGACCAUCCUGCCCAAUAUGAUGAAACCUGGUCUCCACUAAAAAUACAAAAAUUAACCAGGUGUGGUGGCUGUAAUCCCAGCUACUCAGGAGACUGAGGCGGAAUUGCCAGAACCCUGGAGGGCAGAGGUGGCAGUAAGCUGAGAUCGGGCCACUGCACUCCAGCCUAGGUGACAGAAUGAGACUCAGUCUCCCACCCUGCCAAAAAGUUUGCAAUGUCGGCAGCAAAGUGCAAACAGAGCCGGCUCUGGGUGAAAGCUUUAGUUAUGAAAAAUAAGAAAAAAAAAAUCCCUAAGCAUUUCUUAACACUAGUUUUAAAAAAAACCCCUCUCCAAAGGUAUGUUUCUCCUUCAACUUUCUUGAGUUUGCCAGGCUGUCAGGAUGCAAGCUACCUACUCUUUUCUGGAUGGAUCAGGACAAAGUUUUUAAACAAAGACUCUGUCCUCUCCACAAGCCCUUCCCACCACCACCCCCCCCCCCACCCCCCGCCGCCAUAAUUACAGGGGCUGUGAAAUGGCUGUUGAGUGAUGGUGACACAACCAGAAGGCAGAUGAAAAGGUCAGGCUCUAAGAGGGGUUCAGCCUCCCAGUACCAGCCUGCUGUGCCCAGGUGUGGGAGUGCUGGGAGAACUGUCUUCCCCAGACAGGCAGCUAUGCCGCCUCCCACUGCAAAGGCACCAGAAGGCAACAUCCGUCCAAUCCAAAGACCGCCACCCCUGCCUUUUCCCACCCACUUCAAGCCAGCUCCCCUACAACCAACCAAGCCAAGAAUUAGAAAACUGCUUUGCCCAGGCCCCAGGAGAGGCGCAAGGGGCACUUAGGUGGAAAUUUGCCUUGGAGAAGUCACGCAAGGUCCCUGUCAGCUGCCAGGGGGCCAGAUCUGGGAAUCUGGGGCCUCCAGCUCCAGGAGGAAGAGGGAUUCUGUGGGUUGAGCCCAUGUGUCUGAGCAGCUGGAGAAAUACCACCCUUGAUCCACGCCCUGGGAUGGGGUUGGAACCUCCACUCAGCCACCAGUGGGCACCUCUCCUUUUUAAAUGCUUUUAAUGCUCUUCAGAUGGGGAGAGGUUGUUGCAAUGGUCAUAGGCUGUGCUGAUGGCCGGGAACACCCCACACCUGCCCCCCAUACCCCUUCCUCCAGGAGAUACUUGAAAGGGACCAUGCCCGGCUGAAGCCCCGUCUCGUGUGGAAGAAUGUCAUCUCCAGUGUCUGCUGCCUCCUCCCCGCAAAGUCUCCCACAAGCACAGGACAAGGGGUGCUUCCACCAUCUCCUAGGAGCUGAUGACAUGUCCAGACCAGGUCUCAUGCUUGGUGCCUGGUGCCAGGGCCAAGGAAGCGCCCACCCCAGCCAGGCCACCCAGACCCGCUGCUGACUCACUCAGAGAUGUGCAGGAAGAUGUCGGGGCCGCCAUCAGCUGGGGUAAUGAAGCCGUGGCCCUUGGACCGGCAGAAGCAUUUGCAGACUCCUUUGUAGACGGGGCCCUGUGAAGCCCGCACCGUCCUGACAGAGAGGGGGAAAUGUCAGGGGCCCCAUCAGCGCUCCUGGGCACACACAGCUCAUUCCAGCCCCUGCCCACAGCUGUGCCCCAUCAAGCCCUAGCCAGGACCGCCAUGUACAGUCACACAGGCUGAGGACUGCACAACCCUCAACCCUGGGAGCCGCUCACAAAGAUGCUGGGGGAAAGGACUCUUUGGAUGACCCUGGCAAAUUUUCUCGGGCCUGUUUUCCCUCCUGGAAAGAGGGAGUUGAACUAAAACAUCACUGAACAUCCCUCCAGAAACUAAUGAUUUACUAUUAAUAACACAAGCAUCCUCCACUCGCAGGGCCUGAGACCUGCAUCUGCCAGGCAUCGUGUGGGUCCUUCGCAGCCCUGGUGCUGUGCCCAUUUUGCAGCUGCAGAAUUCACAGUCUUACAGGGAAACAGACUCUCAUGUGUGGUUAAAGCCCAGCGAUUCUGACCUCAGCAAUUGCCCACCCAUUGCCACUCCCAGCUGGUAACAGGUUCUUUUGGGCUAGGCAGUACCCUGAAUUUACAAGGCGCCUUCCUAGUUUCUCACCCUCAGCCCAGCCCCAGGUCUGCCUAUUUGACAGUCCGGGACAUAGGCCCAAAAAUGACCAGAGACACAGUGAAUCUCUGGCCUCAGGCAAGAGAUCCAUCUGAGAACGCGUCCCCUGCCCGCUCCAGACUCACGCCGAGAAGGUCCUCGUCCGGCGAGUGGGCAGUGGGCUUGGGACCACGUUGCCCCGCAGAGGGGAUGGUGAGCGCUCACGGCUCCGAGGGGUGUCCAGCAGCCCGACUGAAGCUUGAUGGGUGGGGGGCUGUGGUGGUGGGGGAGGCUCAGAUGACAUGGCUGACCUGGAAGGAGAAGAGGCUGUCAGGGGCUCGUGCCUUGCAAGGUAGGGACCCUGUGCUUACCCCCAUGUCCACGUCUGACAGUCCAGUAUCUGAGGCUCAUUCCUCUCGGGCACCUCAGCACCAUUGUCACCUUGUCUGGGAGCACGCCUGGCGAGGUCACAUGCCUACUCCGGGCUCCUGAAGCAACCGUGGGGCCCCCUCGAUCAUAGCUCUUCAUGAAAAUACCACAUCCUCCCCCAUGACCAGGAUGGCAUCGGUCCCCUCUGUGUCCCCAACACAAGGCAUGGAUGCCGGCACACUUGGGACACAUAGUAUUGUGGGAGGGAAAAACGCAGAUGAGGAAGGUGAGCAGAAAACCCAAAGCCAGGGGCCAGGCACAGUGGCUCACACCUGCAAUCCCAGCACUCUGGGAGGCCGAGGCAGGCGGAUCACUUAAUGUCAGGAGUUCGAGACUAGCCUGGCCAACAUGUGGAAACCCAGUCUCUAAUACGAAUACAAAAAUUAGCUGGGCAUGGCGGCAGGCACCUGUAAUCCCAUCUACUUGAAGGCUGAGACAUGAGAAUUGCUUGAACCUGGGAGGCGGAAGUUCCAGUGAGCUGAGAUCACACCACUGCACUCCAGCCUGGGCUACAGAGCAAGACUCUGUCUCAAAAAAGAAAACCCAAAGCCAGGGAGAUUUUAAUGCCAACCACCUAGAUCCAAACUCAGCCACUCCACGGACCCUCCCUGACGCUGCUGGGAGCCAGACACCACAGGGAAGCAGGGGCAAAAACUGACCCUCACGCGGCAUCUGCCUCCAGGGAACUGUGGAACACAUCGCAGAGAGCUCAGGGGCCACGUUUGGAUCCCUGAGCAGCCGUCACAAGCCUGCACCCAGGACUGGGGGGCCUGCUGUGGGAGCCCAAAGGGAAAGGGAGAAUUUCCAAGGCUGCAUCCAGCUCCAUCAGGCCCAGUGAAUUUCCACACAGCCCGGGUCGCCGCGCUGCUAUGAAAUCAAAUUCCUUCUGUGACCCCUAGUAUGUACCCGUAAAUCCAGCUGGAGGGCUGGAGGGAAUUCCCUAGCUGCUGCUGUGCUUUUGACAAUUUUUCAAGAGCAGGACACUCGCUGUACA
rnacentral:lncRNA from 1 species